GAGUUUGAUCAUGGCUCAGAUUGAACGCUGGCGGCAGGCUUAACACAUGCAAGUCGAGCGGGGGAGGUUGCUUCGGUAACUGACCUAGCGGCGGACGGGUGAGUAAUACUUAGGAAUCUGCCUAUUAAUGGGGGACAACAUCUCGAAAGGGAUGCUAAUACCGCAUACGCCCUACGGGGAAAGCAGGGGAUCACUUGUGACCUUGCGUUAAUAGAUGAGCCUAAGUCGGAUUAGCUAGUUGGUGGGGUAAAGGCUACCAAGGCGACGAUCUGUAGCGGGUCUGAGAGGAUGAUCCGCCACACUGGGACUGAGACACGGUCCAGACUCCUACGGGAGGCAGCAGUGGGGAAUAUUGGACAAUGGGGGGAACCCUGAUCCAGCCAUGCCGCGUGUGUGAAGAAGGCCUUAUGGUUGUAAAGCACUUUAAGCGAGGAGGAGGCUCUUCUAGUUAUACCUAGGAUGAGUGGACGUUACUCGCAGAAUAAGCACCGGCUAACUCUGUGCCAGCCGCCGCCGU
rnacentral:rRNA from 1 species